rnacentral:SRP_RNA from 1 species
CGGGUCCCGUGCGGCGUUGCGCCGUGAAUCAUGUCAGGGCCGGAAGGCAGCAGCAUUAAGCGGAUAGCAGCGCGCGCCGCGGGUCAGCCUGG